GAAAUCUCUCUGCUUUAUCCAUGGACCUUC
rnacentral:piRNA from 1 species